UAUAUCCUUCCUCCGUCCAAAUUACGUGUAUUAGAUUUGUCUAGAUACAGAUGUAUCUAGAGACGUUUUAGUGUUUGAUACAUCUGUAUCUAACAAAUCUGAGGCAAGUAAUUUGGGACGGAGGUAACACUAU
rnacentral:pre_miRNA from 1 species